UCCUCAGUAGCUCAGUGGUAGAGCAGUCGGCUAUUGACUGGCUGGUCGUAGGUUCGAAUCCUACUUGGGGAG
rnacentral:tRNA from 3 species